rnacentral:rRNA from 1 species
CCUACGGGAGGCAGCAGUAGGGAAUCUUUCACAAUGGGCGAAAGCCUGAUGGAGCAACGCCGCGUGCAGGAUGAAGGCCUUCGGGUUGUAAACUGCUUUUAUAAGCGAGAAAUAUGAUGGUAACUUAUGAAUAAGGAUCGGCUAACUACGUGCCAGCAGCCGCGGUCAUACGUAGGAUCCGAGCAUUAUCCGGAGUGACUGGGUGUAAAGAGUUGCGUAGGUGGCAUAAUAAGUAGCUAGUGAAAUCUGGUGGCUCAACCAUUCAGACUAUUAGCUAAACUGUUAAGCUCGAGACCGUGAGGGGUAACUGGAAUUUCUAGUGUAGGAGUGAAAUGCGUAGAUAUUAGAAGGAACACCAAUAGCGUAGGCAGGUUACUGGGACGGUUCUGACACUAAGGCACGAAAGCGUAGGGAGCAAACGGGAUUAGAUACCCUAGUAGUC